AGAAGCCCGCACACAACGCUCUGGAGCCACAAAGGCAGAAACCCCUCCUACUUUUCUUCUCCUUCUCUCUCUCUUUCGCUGAAUCGGAGCGCCCAUGGAAGUCAUACUUGCAGACUGUGUUCAUCACAGUCUUCGCCAUUUCAUGUACCGGAAUGCCAUUUUCAUGUGCGAGAGACUCUGCUCCGAGUUCCCUUCUGAGACAAAUAUGCAGUUACUAGCUGGCUGUUUUUUGCACAACAAUCAGGCUUAUGCUGCAUACCAUAUAUUAAAAGGAACACAAAUGGCUCAAUCCCGCUACUUGUUUGCAAUCUCGUGCUUUCAGAUGGAUCUUCUUCAUGAGGCAGAGGCUGCAUUAUGUCCACCUAACGAGCCUGGUGCUGAGAUUCCAAAUGGUGCAGCAGGUCAUUACCUUCUUGGGCUGAUUUACAGGUACACUGACAGAAGGAGAAGUGCUAUUCAACAUUUUCAGCAGGCAUUAUCUAUAGAUCCUUUGAUGUGGUGUGCUUAUGAGGAACUUUGUAUAUUAGGUGCUGCUGAAGAUGCAUCUUCAGUUUUUGGUGAAGCGGCUGUUCUCUCCAUUCAGAAGCAGUAUCUACAUCAUAGAUCUGAAAACUUGCAGACAUUAAAUGAUGAUCUCAACUCAGCUUCUGCUAGGAAUAAUAAUUCAGACGAAGUCCGGAUAAGGCAGUUAAAACACACUCAAAGCAAUAAUUUAAGAGAUAUUCCUACAAAUUAUCAAGGAACAGUUAACUUGGGAGGAGCUGCAAGUCAAAUUGUUAAUGGUGGUUCAAAUAUAUCAUUUUAUAACACCCCUUCACCUGUGGCUGCACAGAAUUUGCAGUUAUCUUCUAUUGCUCCUCCACCUUUAUGCCGAAAUACACAGCAGAAUGGAUCUAGUAUUAACUCACUUGGUGCAGAUAACUGUUCAAGGUCAACUGUAAACUCUAUUAUACAAGCCCCUCGAAGAAAAUUUGUAGAUGAAGGGAAAUUACGUAAGAUUUCAGGAAGGUUAUUUUCUGAUUCUGGCCCUCGAAGAAGUAGCAGACUUGCUGGGGAAGCAGUAGCCAAUACUAACGUAAGUGCUGCUAAUAAUGGAACUACCAACUCCACCAAAUAUCUUGGUGGGUCGAAGUUGAAUUCUAUUACACUUCGUUCUAUGGCAGUUCGCAAAGGACAGUCCUUUGCAAAUGAGAAUAUUGACGAAGGUAUUCAAAAUGAGGCUUUUGAUGAUUCUCGAUCCAAUGCCUCAUUAUCCGUCUCCAGUUCAUCACCUUCUAGUGGUAAUAGGACUCUUGAGCAAGGAGCAACCAAAUCAGUUGGAGGAAGUCUCACAAAUGAUGCUAAAAUAAUUAAUGGUGCUUCAGAAAUAUUAGGCCUCCUGAGAAUAUUAGGGGAAGGACAUAGACUUUCAUGCCUGUUCAGAUGCCAGGAUGCUUUGGAUGUCUACCUAAAACUUCCUUACAAGCAUUACAGUACAGGCUGGGUGCUGUCGCAGGUUGGAAAAGUGUAUUUUGAAUUGGUGGAUUAUUUAGAAGCUGAUAGAGCUUUCAGUCUUGCUCGCCAUGCUUCACCUCACAGUUUGGAAGGAAUGGAUGUGUAUUCUACAGUUCUUUAUCAUUUAAAGGAAGACAUGAAGCUAAGCUACCUGGCUCAGGAAUUGAUAUCAACUGACCGCUUAGCUCCUCAAUCUUGGUGUGCCAUGGGAAAUUGCUACAGCUUGCAGAAGGACCAUGAAACUGCGUUAAAAAAUUUCCAGCGUGCUGUCCAACUAAAUCCAAGAUUUGCCUACGCUCACACCCUCUGUGGACAUGAAUAUGUGGCCUUGGAAGAUUUUGAGAAUGGAAUUCAGAGCUACCAGAGUGCACUACGAGUAGAUUCUAGACAUUAUAACUCCUGGUACGGACUUGGGAUGAUAUAUCUUCGACAAGAGAAGCUCGAGUUCUCUGAGCAUCACUUCCGAAUGGCUUUCCAAAUAAAUCCUCGUUCUUCUGUUGUAAUGUCAUAUCUUGGUACAUCUUUGCAUGCGUUGAAGAGGAGUGAGGAUGCUAUGAUGAUGAUGGAGAAGGCCAUCCUUGCGGAUAAGAAAAACCCACUUCCCAUGUAUCAGAAAGCUAACAUACUUAUAAGCCUGGAACGUUUCGAUGAAGCUUUACAAGUUCUAGAGGAGCUUAAAGAGUAUGCCCCUCGAGAAAGCAGUGUGUAUGCUUUGAUGGGUAAAAUCUACAAAAGACGGUACAUGCACGAGAAGGCAAUGCUUAAUUUUGGCCUUGCCUUGGAUUUGAAACCAUCUGCCGCUGAUGUAGCCACCAUUAAGGCUGCCAUCGAGAAGCUGCAUGUACCUGAUGAAAUAGAAGACAACUUAUGAGAAUUCUCAUUUUUCUAAAGGGAAAAGAAAGUGAUGGAGAAUACGGUGUAACUUAUAAUGAAAACGGGAUGGAAUUUGUUUGGCCUCAGGAAGCGAGUUAGCUAUACAAGUACCGGCGGGAUGUUGGGGCACCUGCGAUCAAGUUGGCCAAUCAAUCUAGGCACUGGUAAAACCUCAGUUUGUGGGUGAGCUCACACACUAACAGAGUAAACUAUGUGAGCAAAAGGUGCAAAAAGAUGCCCCAUUACUUGUACAAAGGGCAUGUAAUCGUGCCACAACAAAUCACAAGGAAUGAUCUACCUAUAUGCCAUGACAUCGGACCACCAAAAGUAGGGAGCUAUUUCAAGGUAUAAGAUUUUUCUUAGUGAUAAUUGAUGCCUUAUUUACUCAGCUAUAUUCGUAUUAACAUCUAUAAAUCAUUUCAAAUUAUUCUAGUGUUUUAUGAAAAUUGAAUUCAUAUAUAUAAAAAAGUUAGUACUUA